UCAGCUUAAAAUGAACAAAAUGUGACCUGUUCUUCAUUAAUAAGGAAAAAAUUAACUUCUGGAAAAACCUGAUUGCUUAUUUGGCAAAUUACAGAGAAGGUCAUUUAACCAGUUCCCAGCAUUGGCUAUGAGAUGAGGGACCCAGCCGGGAGGAUGGCUAAGCUGCUUCUGGCUUUCUGCUGCCUUGUGCCAAUAAAGGAAGGGCCUCCCUGAUGGUGCUCCUGGCCUUCAAAGCAAUCUCAUACUGAAAGCUGGUGCUUCAGUUACAUGCACUCAAAGGAGAAGAAUCUACUUUGAAUGGAAAGCUCCCGGGUAUUCCCACACCUUCUUUGUUUGUCUAAGGCCAUGGCUCUGCAGAGCUGCAAUAAACCUGCGUACCCACCCUGCAGAAGGACUGGGCCACAGCUAGCUUGUAAAACAAAACUAAGUCACCAAAUUUAUUUCCUUUAACACAGUCUCUUAGCAGAACCUUUCUAUGCUGACUGUGGCCUUGGCUCAAGCAACAGCAAUUGCAGCUCCUGCUGGUUCUACUAAGGAGGUAAAAAUAAAGGCGACUCGCUUUCAGAGCUUCGCUCUUGUGACCAGGCUGGAGUACAAUGGCACA